rnacentral:rRNA from 1 species
UACGGAGGGUGCAAGCGUUAUCCGGAUUCACUGGGUUUAAAGGGUGCGUAGGAGGGCAGGUAAGUCAGUGGUGAAAUCUCCAAGCUUAACUUGGAAACUGCCGUUGAUACUAUCUGUCUUGAAUAUUGUGGAGGUGAGCGGAAUAUGUCAUGUAGCGGUGAAAUGCUUAGAUAUGACAUAGAACACCAAUUGUGAAGGCAGCUCACUACUCAAUCAUUGACUCUGAGGCACGAAAGCGUGGGGAUCAAACAGG